GAAGAGUUAGUGCCCUUAUUUUCAAAACCCUAAAUCAAACAUUUGGAAAGGGGUCUAUUCCCUAAGAGGCCAGCAUGGAUGAGACGUGUUGGGAGAGCAAGGGGCAUUUCCAAUUUCUGUGACUUGGGGGCAGAGGUGGGGCAGCCCUCAUUUCACUUUCUUCAGUGUUGUCUGUCUUUCCCUAGUGACCCAGCCCAUGCAGAGAGCAGGGACCCAGCAGAACGCAUGUCGUCUCCAUCCCAUCAGGCAGCGGGGUACUUCCAAGCAGCGUGGAGAACGCCUGCCCUCGGGCAGCCACUGGGAGCAGGCCCACCAUCAGUACUCUGCUUGUGAAUAAAAGCAGUUUAAAGAAACCCCCAGAUAUCCUCAAUUGUUCCAGGUCACCUGUCAGACCUGCCGCCUUUGGGGCCACGGCAAGUUUGUGACCCACAGCAAAGGCAGCAGCAAGCCCCCCGCCAGCCUCUACACACAGCCUCGUCAAAGCCCUGGUAAGUCCUCCCAGCUGCCCAGCUAGGCUGCCUGCGUGUGACUUCUUUCCUCUUCCAGAAUGUUCUAAAUGUUCAUUUAACAUUUGUUUUACUCUAUAAAAACAUCGAGGAAAGGGCCCUGCAUCCCAGAUUGUCCUCUUCCCCAGUCCAGAAUGCUCUAUAAGCUCUCAUUAAAAAAAGAAUCAAGUCCCUUUAAAUGAAAGUUUACUAUUGUUAGGAUUUCUGAUAGCUUUCUGAACUGCCCAUUUACUUUCUUGGGAAUUCAUUCUUCUGAAUCCCAGUCUCAGAAACCCCCAAAUCACAGAGAAAGAAGCAUGCUGGCAGGAUUAGGAAAUCUUGGUUUCGGUUUUCCUCAUCUGCAAAGUGGGGUAUUGAUAAUAAUAACAGUAAUGAUAAUUAUUAUUAGUACCCAGUGUCCCAUGGCUGUUUGUACUGAGGACCAAAUCUGCCUGCCUGGUUUAUCAGGUACAAAAAUGGGGCUGAAUGUCACUGACAAAUGCUGUAUAGGAAAAGCCCCUCUGCUCCAAAGUUACUAACAUGUACAGUGCCCAGGCCCUGUCACGUCUACAGGACACGUCUGUAGAUAAUGUCACAAGGCGCCCUGUGGGAGAGCAUGCAGACUCUCUGUAAACGUCGCAAACCUCCCCACUUUUCUGUGUAGGCUAGGGAAUCACUCCCCAUUCACCACACCGUGUGGUUGAGGAAUGCAGCUCGGUUCGUACUAACCAUGCUUGUAAUCCUUCACAUUUAUGUUUUUCUUGGCACAUUUCCUCCUGUUCAGAAAUUAACAAGCACCUCCAAGCUACAGGAAGCACUGUCACCGUAUUACACAUAACUUACAUGUGUAUCGUGCUUUGCAGGGUUCAAAACCAUCUCGCAAGAUAAAUUCAUUUCUGCAAAGGAAUUGGAACGGUGCCUGGCACAUAAAGCAUCCACAGCAUUAGUGUUAGCAUCACCUCGUUCACUGUACAGUGACACCACGAGCAAGGGGGAAGAGAAAGACCCUAUGAAUAUGAGCAGAGGCUCAAGAACCUAUAUGUAGAAGGUAAUUCAAAUGCACACAUUCAAUAAAACACACUCCAAACGUUCUGGUCGUACCAUUCAUCCAAGCGAAAAAAAAAAUAACAACAAACAUGGUGGUCAACCUGCAACCAUGGGUCUACCGAACCUCCACUCUUCCUGCCCUUCCUGGAUUGUGUCUGGGGAGGAAGGAAAAGCACCUGUUCAGGGGCCCCCUACCGCCCACCUCCAAAUAGACACAUGUGCCUUGCUCCAGUGACCACUGGAAGGGGCUCUCAUGCCCCCUACCCACAGUUUUUGCAGACAAGGGAGCAGAGAUGCAGAGAGGGUAGACAAUUUGCUUGAUGUCUACACAAGUGUCCAGGACAGAGCACGAACGAAAACAGGAACAUCCUGACUAUUCCAGCUUAUUCUAGUAGAGGGCGAUAUAAAUGAGAAGUGAAAAUCAUGUGGUCCCAAGUUGGGAAAAGCAUGGAGGCAGCCUUUGCAUGCAUGUUAACCAUGGAUUGAGGAGGGACCCAGGCAGGUAGAGCCCUGUCUGUGCUUAAACCUUCUCCCCUCGGGUCCUGCCUGGUGACCUCAGAUACCUCCUAGACAUCAGGUUUGCCUUCAUGGGUUCUCCUACUUGUUCUUCCUAUCUCAAGGAAAGGAGGGAGGGCAGGAGGUGCCGAGAGGAACAGAUACAAAAUCAUAGUCCUAGAAAUGUGCCUCUUCGUUACACUCUGAUAAAUAGGCAGCUUCCGUGUAAGAUGUCUGCCUUAGAUGGGAAGUGGGCAGAGAAAAGGCAAAUGUGGAGAACCGUGAAGAAUCACUUAACUCUCUUAGGGCCCUCUGCUCUCUGCUGGAAUCAUUAAAAUAAACAAAGCCCUGCCCAAGAACCACCAGAUUAAGUGCUUUCCCACAUCAUACCUAAACAUUAUUUCUCAUCAUCUUUGUUCUCUCACAUUUUUUCUAACGGGCUCACUGUCUUGUUUGCUUAGCCUAUCACGAGCGAGAAGUGAUGCUAUAUCCUCAUCAUUACAAGCUCUGUUUUGGAAUACAUGACUCCGGGGGCACAGCCCUGUCACCUGUCCACGCUAGAGAGGAACAGUGUGGAGAGGAAAGCAGAAGCCGUGGCUCCUUGGUCUCCUGUCUCUACUCCUCUCUCCCGUUCCAUACGGGCUUUGCACAGAUCAGACAAAAUCACCCUAAAAUAUUAUUUCCAUCCUGUCACCCCUCUACAAAAGCAUCUCCAGCUUACCUAGGACCAACCACAUCCAGAGUAAAUGAACUCCACCUAACUUCUAAGCCCCCAGGGUCUUGUCUCCAUCUUCCAAGCAGUCUGAUUCGCAGCUGAUCGGCGGCAUGGCGGGUCCCCCCUCCCUCGUAGACCCCUCUCCUCGCAAUUCCCACCGCUGGCAAACCCAUGCUUGCCGCAGAGCCUUGAGGCCUUCUCUUCUCCGAGCCCUGACGAUGACAGGGCCAGCUCAAGGUCUCGCCUUGUCCCUGGAGCUUUCUCCAGGUUCCCCUUCUCAUUGAGUCCUAACAGGCAAACACAGUGUCACAAGGAGUUAUGUAUGCUUCUCUCCACAUCCUAGGCUGCCAACCCCUGAGCUCAGGGACCACAUUCUCCUUUGCCCUCCGCUACAACGGGUGCUCAGUAAAUGCUAGAGUAGUCGACCAAUGGACUGAUAGUCUUUGGGGGCCUAAGGUACAAUCAGAGCCCUGUCUAGCCCAGCACUGCUAAGGAACCUGGGCACUAAUGGUACACUUUUCUUCCUAGAGCAUGGUCACCUGUCUCGGUGCAUGAUGGUUCAUACACACAGCCUUCAGCGCAGCCCUCAUGAUGUUCAAUCCGCCCUUUCUCCAUUCCAUAAGGUGUGUCUGGUGUUGAAGUGGGCAGAGAAGAGGCAAAUUCUCUGCCUAGGUGAGACUUGGGGGUUAAAGCCUUUGUCAAACAACGGGCAACACAACAGAGCUGAGAAGCUUAGGUCUCAGUUGAUUUAGCCCAGCGGAGAUUUCUCCAGUGAGAUUACAGCAGCUCACCUGCACCAGCCAGUUGGUCUCAGACCAGGAGGAUCUGUCCACUCACUUGGCCCUGAGCAGAGAGGUCUCUCAACUCAUCAGCAACAGACAUGUUCCUCGGUGGCCUACCUCCAGGGCUGGCAUUCAUGGCACCUUAGCCAAGGUGGAGAUUCGGGGAGAACAAGGAGACGGCCGCACACUGCUGGCCCUUCCUUUCCUACACCCACGUAGCUUUUCUGAUGGGUCCCAUGCCUUUCAGCCUUAGCCUGGGAAUCAGAAUUGCACCGGUGGGCUGUGCUGACAAUGGGCUGGCCACUUACAGGCUCACCAAUGUUCCAGAUAAACUACUUCUGUUCCUGAACUAGGUCUAGAGUUUCCUAGAGACCCUCAAAAAUGAGGCUGUUCUGGGAAAGCUCUGACUCUACUCCGUGAAGAGAUUACACUUUCUUUCAAGAUUAGAAUCUUUUAAAAUGCUCAAAGUAAAUGUUUAUUAUAAUCAGCCUCAAAUAAAAUAUUUCUUAAUCUAAUUAAUGUACCAUCCAUUGAGAGGCACACAAUGGGCAUGUUUUGGAAGUAGACAAACAAACCUCGAUUUCAGAAUUGCCAGCUCUCUUCCCAGUAGCAGCCUUCAUUUAUCUUGUCAACUAAAAUAAAUAUUUAACGUCUCCUCCUUCAUGCCUUUAAACAGACGACUAUAAAAACUGGGAAAUACACAUACCCCAAACACAAUUGAAGAACAUUCGACUGGUCAGACUUCACAAAACCAGGAAACCCCAACUCAAAGCUAAUGGUCGUUGCCCUCAAUCUGCAGGCAUAAAGACGCCAGCGGGGAGGCUAACGAACCCGGUUUGUUUAUAGGGUUGGCCUCCACGGCACACAAGGGCCCUCCCUGCUCAUUUCCCUCUGUCCCAGGGAAGCCUCCGGAGCUGGGCUGUGAUAACACCAUUUCAUCUGCUCUCUUCACCAGGGGCAGGGGAACUUUUUUUUCUUUCUAAUUAAGGGGCCCUGACUCUCUGGAGAAAAAACAAAUCAGUUUGGGGUCACCCAUAAGUUUCAAAAGUCAACUCAGUAGUGCUGUUCUCUUUGUAAAGCGGAAGAAAAUAUAAAAGGCCUUAAUUCAGCAGACUUCAGAAAUGAGAAGCACAGAGGUCCCUGUUUAAUAAUAAAGUAGGAAAAGAACCAGAUCAAGGAUGAGGUGAGGGGAGAAAUGUAGACACUGACAGGCAGCCCCAGGAGGCGGAGGCAGAGGAAGAAAGAAAAAAAGAAACUAGAGGGGCUUCCCUGGUGGCGCAGUGGUUGAGAGUCCGCCUGCCGAUGCGGGGG